rnacentral:rRNA from 1 species
UACAGAGGGUGCGAGCGUUGUUCGGAAUUAUUGGGCGUAAAGCGCUUGUAGGCGGCACGUCAAGUCGCGUGUGAAAUCCCCAGGCUUAACCUGGGAAGUGCGCGCGAAACUGACGAGCUUGAGUGCCGGAGAGGGUCGCGGAAUUCCCGGUGUAGAGGUGAAAUUCGUAGAUAUCGGGAGGAACACCAGUGGCGAAGGCGGCGACCUGGACGGACACUGACGCUGAGACGCGAAAAGCGUGGGGAGCAAACAGG